rnacentral:rRNA from 1 species
CCUACGGGAGGCAGCAGUCGAGAAUCUUUCACAAUGGGGGAGACCCUGAAGGUGCGAAGCCGCGUGGGGGAAUGAAGGUCAUCGUAUUGUAAACCUCUGUUAUGUGGGAGCAAAUUAAAAAGAUAGUACCACAAGUGGAAGAGACGGCUAACACGGUUCGAGUAGCUGCGGUAAUACAGAGGUGUUAAGAGUUGUUCGGAAUCACUGGUCGUGAAUUGUGCGUAGGCUGUUUCGUAAGUCGUGUGUGAAAGGCGCGGGCUCACCCCGCGGACGGCACAUGAUACUGCGAGACUAGAGUAGUGGAGGGGGAAGCGGAAUGCUCGGUGUAGCAGUGAAAUGCGUAGAUAUCGAGAGGAACACUGGUGGCGAAGGCGGGUUCCUGGACAUUAACUGACGCUGAGGCACGAAGGCGAGGGGAGCGAAAGGGAUUAGAUACCCGGGUAGUC